UUUAAAUGGCCGCAGUAUAUUAACUGUGCAAAGGUAGCAUAAUCAUUAGUCUUUUAAUUGAAGGCUGGUAUGAAUGGUUGGACGAGAUAUUAACUGUUUCAUUAAUAUUUAUAAUAGAAUUUUAUUUUUUAGUCAAAAAGCUAAAAUAAAAUUAAAAGACGAGAAGACCCUAUAAAUCUUUAUAUUUAAAUUAUUAGAAUUUUUAAGAUUUUUUUUGUUAUAAUAAUUAAUAAUAUUUUAUUGGGGUGAUAUUAAAAUUUGAUAAACUUUUAAUAAUUUUUAUUCAUUAAUUUAUGAAUAGUUGAUCCGUUAUUAACGAUUAAAAAAAUAAGUUACUUUAGGGAUAACAGCGUAAUUUUUUUGGAGAGUUCAUAUCGAUAAAAAAGAUUGCGACCUCGAUGUUGGAUUAAGAGAUAGGUUUAGGUGUAGCUGCUUAAAUUUUAAGUCU
rnacentral:rRNA from 2 species